rnacentral:miRNA from 1 species
UUCCCUCCGGUCAUCAAGACUGUACAGUCUCAAUGACCGGAAGGAAUCCCUUCCGGCCAUCAAGAUUGUAUGGUCCCAAUGACCUGAAGGGGUUCAUACAAUCUUGGUGACUGGAAGGAAUUCCUUCCGGCUGUCAAAACUGUAUGGUCUCAUUGACCGGAAGGGA